rnacentral:tRNA from 1 species
GCAAUGGUUGUUUAGUGGUAGAAACUCUUGCCUUCCAUGUGGGAGACCUGGGUUCGAUUCCUGAACAAUGCG